GGUCAUUUCUUUAAGUCGUCUUCAGGAAUAGUUCUCCGGACUUCUUCGGAUGUUUGCCGUGUUUUUUUCUGUUCUCUGUCAAGAUUUUUCAAUAAUUCUGAGGUUCUGGGAAUGCCAGUCCAGGACUGAGUUCAAUUGUGAGUUUUUCUAUCCAGGUAUCCUUUUAUUGUAUUGGCAUUGUUUGGGAUCACUGUCACGCUGAAGAAUUAGGCUGUUGCCUAUCAGAUGCUUUCCAAAUGGUAUUACAUGGUGGAUCCCAAGACCAAUUUACAAAGUCCUUGGAGGCUCAAGAUAUUUGCAUAGCAUAUCCUCCUAGGAAAAAAUAUUACUAGGUCCUGGAAAGAGUUAUAAUUGUAGGCUUACAAUAAGUCUUUGAGGUUGUUUUUUGUUUUUGUUUUUUUGAAUGACGGUGUUUAAGUUUUAAUUUGUGCAUACUCAGGAAGGCUGUGACGUGGUUUUAAGAUGAAUAACUACCAGCACAAAGUGCAUACCUGUACGUAAGUGACGGGAUCCUUGGAUCACAGCGGCCUCUAGUGGAAGACAUGCACAAGUGCACCAUGUCUGAAGCGUCACAAGUCAUCAAUGAGCAGGAAAAGUGGGUUAAACAGUUUAUUGAAUCGAUUUUUGCUGUUCAGAACUGUUUGUCAUCUCUGGCUGACUUUAACAAUGUGUAAAGAAAGAAAACUAAUAAAGAGGGGCGCAGGGGAUGAAAAAAAACUAUCAACAUGAUUUAAAAAAAAAUCAUUAACAUAAUUGGCUUAUGCACAACUUCCCACCCUCCCCAAUGGAAAAAACAAUUUCACCCUUGCCAAAUGCUACAAUACUGUAUCAAAUAGGGGCGAUUUAAAAUGUAAAAACAUGAAGGGACUAACUGCUACUUAAAAAAGCUGAAGGAUGAAGAAUAUUCACAAAGUUACAUAAGGGGAGACACAAGAGAAGUAAUAACAUCACACCUGACUGCUUCAAGGAGGCAACAGUAAACUAGAGACAUCAAAGUAGAUUCUCACCAACCAGCCGCCGCUCCUUUAGUCAGAUGUUACUAAAAUUUCCCCAACUGUGGAACUCGGUUAAGGAAAAAAAAAACAGAAAAAAGGGUGCAAAACAUAAUAACAAAAGUAAUCGUGUUAUGAUUCAAAAUAAGUGCAGUUACCCUGCUUUUAGAUUUAAAAGACCAGGUUGGGUCGGGUUUAUAAAAAUAAAAAUAACAAGGACGAGGAAAGUAUGGAGUCUUUUUUUUUUUUUUCAAAUCUUGUCUGCAAAAUAUAAAUUACUAGUGCACACAAGGUAAAUAACUCCUGCAGGAGAUAAAUAACUCUUGCACGAAUUAAAAUAACUCCUGCGGACAUAAUUAACUUGUGUGCACAUGAUAAUAUCCUCACACGGCACAGUAGGGGUUCUGUAUUAAUUCCUACUGAUUGCGUGUGAACUUCUACCAUAACACCAAGUCGUUAUCCUUGUGCCGUAUACAAAAAAAUUCCCCCGAUAUGCACCCCUUGCAUUGUGGCAUAUUCCAGGAUAACAUCACAACUGAUAUGACAUCUAGCACCAUUACAAAACCAAACAAAUGAGAAUUUUAAAAAAAGGAAAUAUUUGUGGGUGACAAAAACAAAACAGAAAGAAGAAGAGUGCUUUAAACAUAUCAGAGGCUAACAUAUUCACACAGCUACAGCGAAAUGAUGAAUAAUAAACUCCAGGGAUUUUUUAAAUUAAAUUAAAAAAACGAAACAAAAACACAAAAAGUUAGUUAAGAAAGGGGAGAGAUGACAAAAUAAAGCGUCGCUACAGAGUAAAGUCGUGCUAUAGUGUUUUAAAUAUUGGCAGAAAAACAAAACAAAACAACCGAGGGGACAAGCUAGCUGUGAUUUACACGGCUGAGAAGCUAAAAUUAAAGGUGAAGUCAAAUUUGGGAUGCGAGGGGGGGAGCUGUGAGUUGGUUUCCAGUCUGCAUACAAGACAAAUUGUGCAAAAUAAAGUUCAUUUAUUCAUUUUUGUUUAUUUUUUUGCCGGCAUCUGAUUAGGUCUGUGCACAAGUGUUGUUUUUCCUGAGAGAUAACGGUUGCAUGAGCCUCGUUUUGAGAUGAAAGUUUUUUUCCUAUUUGAUGCAUUUUUUAAAAAUCGUUUUUUUUACUUGGACUCAAAGAAAGAAAAAAGAAAACAGGAAGCACGAGGCAGGCGGCUGGAAAUCUGCUUUAAAACUGUCAAGUAUUUGCCUCUUUCAACUUUUAAAGUCACCUUACAGGUAUCUCUCGCUUAUAUAUAUAUGUAUGUAUGUAUGUAUGUAUGUAUAUUUGCUGUUUUGCAAAGCUUAUGUACACUGAGUAUACUCAGGCCCAAGCGCUCCCUACAUGCCAUGCCAAUGCAAAUAUUAGUGUUCCUUUGGUUAUGUAAAAAAAAAAGAAAGAAAUCUACAUGCAUCUUAUUCUUUACAAAAAUAAAAGUAUAGAAAAUUACAGUUAAAAAUGAUCUGAGAAUGCUUCUUCCAAUGUGUAAAAAAACAUCACUUGUCAUUAGUAAUAUAUUCAUACGUAUUAAUAUCUGAUUUCCAUCUAAACUGUAUAUUAAAACUAUCAUCAAAUAUAUUCUUUUUUUGUACUUCUCACACAGUGAAUUAAUUUUUCUUUUCCAACGUUAGUACUGAAUAAUAAAAGAAAACGUCCAACAAUAUAUCGGGAAAAUGUUAAAUAGCAAAAACAAACCCUUGAGGGAGGGACUUUUUUUUUCUUUCUCAAAUUUCCUUCAAAAGAUAGGUCUGCAUAGCAUCGUGUACCUGCGCAAUUUGUACAUUUACAGGAUCAUAAACUCUCUUCUUUUGAGAUGGUACAACCUAAUAUGGAUGCAUCUUUUAGUGUGGGGUCCCUGUGUUGCAGGAAACCUAAGUGCUUUGAAAAUGCACAGGCUCGAGGGAAAUAAAGGAAGAAGAAGAAGAAGAAGGAGUCAGGUUGGACAGUGGAGGCAUGUCAGCUGUCUAGGACAAUGUAAUACUUGGCCAACCAAUCACUCGUUAGCGUAUGGAUUUACCCUUGAAUGCCCCGUGUGUAAAUUCACAAAUCCCAUUUCUUCAUUUUGUUAGUUCAACUGCACAUCAGAGAUUAAAAAAACAAAACAAAACACCCUCUAUCUGACAUCUACCUUAACACAAUGGAUUGAAGUAAAAAAAAAAAGCCAAACUGCAAGUACAUACCCUCUCAACUCUUUUCUCUAAAAUCAUGAAUUUAAAAUCGUACAUUUAAUCAGGGCAAGAUGUGCAACCACAUGUUUCAUGCCUCCGGCCGUCCCAUCUUUAUCUUCCACCUGUUCACAACAGUCCUCUCGCUCGCUUUAUCUGUAUCGAGGUCGGUGCAGCAGGGCAAGUGUACCUCAUUCAGACGAGCAUUUGGUCUGGCAAGUCACGCCGAGCGGGAAAACUGGCCAUUUCUCCAAAAAUCAAAACAAAACAAACGACAACAACAAAAAAACAGUCCAUCAAGUCUCUCAAACCAGCGCCUUUGAGAUCCGGAGUACCAUAUCCGCCCUAAAGCUUUUGUCGUGUAACAUAACUAAAGUGGAAACUCAUUCCAGCCAGAGGGAGGGAGGGAGGAGGGGUGGGGACGGGGAAAUAGGUGAUUUGUCUUGUCAAUCUAAAAAAACAAAACAAAACCAAACCAAAAACCAUCAAGUCACACAUUUAAAAAAAAAUCAGUUUGCAGUGAAAAAACAAACAAACAAAAAAACAAACAACAACAACAAAAAUGGCUAGCAGCCCAAUCGUCCGAGUGUUAUUUAAAACCCCCCAAAACAAAACAAAAUAAAAAUAAACAGAAAGUUGUGCAUAGUAGCCUGAAUCUCCUCCGCUUCCUCUGCAUGUCUUGGCACGUGAUAUGAGUGAGGUCUUCGUUUGUAAAAGUCCAAGAGAAACGGCGCGCUUUGAAGACAAGCAUCUUCGGCCAGCAGGGAGGAGGGAUCAACCGGUGGUUGCGUGACGUUAUCUUGAUGGGAGAUUAGUUUCCUGCAAAGACGAUAGAGAGGAUCAUUCACCUCGCUGUCGCUUAAAAAGGCCGUUUGAGAAGAUCUGUUAGCCAUAUCUGCAUGCAAUGCUGUGAGUAAUGAGCAGAUCUUUGUGAAAAAAACUAAAAGGGGUGGAAAUAUUC
ensembl:lncRNA